AUCGCUACAAAAAAUGGUGGACGUCUUGUCUUUGUGGUCUCGUCUCGAAGCACGGACCAAGGAAUCCACCGCCAACUUUCUGCUUCCAGUGAUGGAU
rnacentral:rRNA from 16 species